rnacentral:rRNA from 1 species
CGCAAGUCGAGCGGCAGCGGGAAAGUAGCUUGCUACUUUUGCCGGCGAGCGGCGGACGGGUGAGUAAUGCCUGGGAAAUUGCCCAGUCGAGGGGGAUAACAGUUGGAAACGACUGCUAAUACCGCAUACGCCCUACGGGGGAAAGCAGGGGACCUUCGGGCCUUGCGCGAUUGGAUAUGCCCAGGUGGGAUUAGCUAGUUGGUGAGGUAAUGGCUCACCAAGGCGACGAUCCCUAGCUGGUCUGAGAGGAUGAUCAGCCCACUGGAACUGAGACACGGUCCAGACUCCUACGGGAGGCAGCAGUGGGGAAUAUUGCACAAUGGGGGAAACCCUGAUGCAGCCUGCCGCGUGUGUGAAGAAGGCCUUCGGGUUGUAAAGCACUUUC